UUGAACAAUUUGACCUCAAAUCAGGUAGGACUACCCGCUGAACUUAA
rnacentral:rRNA from 1 species